rnacentral:rRNA from 1 species
ACGGAAGGCAGCAGUGGGGAAUAUUGCACAAUGGGAGAAAUCCUGAUGCAGCGACGCCGCGUGAGUGAAGAAGUAUUUCGGUAUGUAAAGCUCUAUCAGCAGGGAAGAAAAUGACGGUACCUGACUAAGAAGCCCCGGCUAACUACGUGCCAGCAGCCGCGGUAAUACGUAGGGGGCAAGCGUUAUCCGGAUUUACUGGGUGUAAAGGGAGCGUAGACGGCGAUGCAAGUCUGAUGUGAAAUGCGGGGGCUCAACUCCUGAACUGCAUUGGAAACUGUAUUGCUGGAGUGCCGGAGAGGUAAGCGGAAUUCCUAGUGUAGCGGUGAAAUGCGUAGAUAUUAGGAGGAACACCAGUGGCGAAGGCGGCUUACUGGACUGUAACUGACGUUGAGGCUCGAAAGCGUGGGGAGCAAACAGGAUUAGAUACCCUGGUA